AUGGCGCGAUUGACGAUUGCAUCGGCGGCGGUGGCGCUGAUCCUGCUCGUGGCGUCCGCGGAGGCCUCGCCGGCGUGGUCGGACUACGCCGGCGCGUUCGACAAGUCCCUCCAGUUCUUCGAGGCGCAGCGGUCCGGCAAGCUCCCCGCCGACCGCACCGUGCACUGGCGCGGCGACUCCGCCCUCACCGACGGCUUCUCCCAGGGGGUACGCGCGCGCGCCUCGAUCCGACGUCGUACGAACUCCGAUCGGAGCUCGAUCCGCAUUUGCUUAUGGACAAAGAAUGGAUGUGUGCAGGUGGAUCUGGUCGGCGGGUACUACGACGCCGGCGACCACGUCAAGUUCGGGUUCCCGGCGGCGUACGCGGUGACCAUGCUGUCGUGGGGCGUGCUCGAGUUCGAGAAGGAGAUGGUCGCCGCCAACUCCCUCAACCGCGCCCUCGACGCCAUCCGCUGGGGCACCAACUACUUCAUCAAGGCCCAUACCGAGCCCAACACCCUCUGGGUCCAGGUGGGCGACGGUGACAGCGACCACCUGUGCUGGGAGCGCGCGGAGGACAUGUCGACGCCGAGGACGGCGUCCAAGAUCGACGCCAGCCGCCCGGGCUCGGAGGUGGCCGCCGAGACGGCCGCGGCGCUCGCCGCCGCCGCCAAGGUGUUCCGGCACUACGACUCCAUGUACGCCGACCUGCUCCUCAUGCACGCCAAGCAGAUCUUCACCUUCGCCGACACCUUCCGGGGCCGCUACGACGACUCCCUGCAAUGCGCCAAGAAGUUCUACCCCUCCGCCUCCGGCUACCAGGACGAGCUGCUCUGGGGCGCCGCCUGGCUCUACGAGGCCACCGGCGACGAGGACUACCUCGACUACGUCGCCCGUAACGCGGACGCCUUCGGCGGGACCGGCUGGGCCGUGCGCGAGUUCUCCUGGGACAACAAGUACGCCGGCGUCCAGGUGCUGCUCUCCAAGGUGCUCCUCGCCGGCGGCGGCGACGGCGACUACGCCGACACGCUCAAGCAGUUCCGGGCCAAGGCCGAGUUCUUCAUGUGCGCCUGCAUCCAGAAGAACGGCGGCAACAACGUCAGGACCACCCCCGGCGGCCUCCUCUACGUCGCCGACUGGAACAACAUGCAGUACGUCAGCUCCUCCGUCUUCCUCCUCACCGUCUACGCCGACUACCUCGCCGAGUCCGGCGACAAGCUCAAGUGCCCCGACGCCGAGGUCGCGCCCGCCGAGAUCGUCGCCUUCGCCAGGUCCCAGGUGGACUACGUCCUGGGCAAGAACCCGCUGUCCAUGAGCUACAUGGUGGGCCACGGCGACAAGUUCCCCACGCACGUGCACCACCGCGGCGCCUCCAUCCCGUCCGUCUACGCCGUCAACGACACCGUCGGGUGCAUGGAGGGGUUCGACGCCUACUACAACAGCAAGGGCGCCGACCCCAACGUCCUCGUCGGCGCGCUCGUCGGCGGGCCAGACGGCCACGACGGCUUCGUCGAUGACCGCUGCAACUACCAGCGCGCCGAGCCCACCCUCGCCGCCGCCGCGCCCAUGUGCGGCGUCUUCGCCCGCCUCGCCGCCCAACCCGCCGCCGCCGGUAACAGCCCGGGUUACCAGCCUCCGCAGGACACCCUGCACGUCGGAGGCGCGCCGCUGGAGUUCGUGCACGCGGUCACCAACUCGUGGGAGUACAACGGCGUGGACCACUACCGGCACACCGUGACGGCGAAGAACACGUGCGGCCACCCCAUCACGUAUCUGAAGCUGCGGAUCGAGGGGCUGACCGGCCCCAUCUACGGCGUCUCUGCCACACAGGACAAGGAGAUGUACGGCUUCCCCUCCUGGGUCACCAGACUUGACGCCGGCGAGAAGCUUACCAUCGUGUACAUCCAGGAGGGCGGCCCCGCUGCCAAGAUCGCCGUCGCCCAGUACAAGACGGGCUGA
rnacentral:rRNA from 1 species